CCCUACGGGGCGCAGCAGUGGGGAAUAUUGCACAAUGGGGGAAACCCUGAUGCAGCAACGCCGCGUGAGUGAAGAAGUAUUUCGGUAUGUAAAGCUCUAUCAGCAGGGAAGAAGAAAGACGGUACCUGACUAAGAAGCCCCGGCUAACUACGUGCCAGCAGCCGCGGUAAUACGUAGGGGGCAAGCGUUAUCCGGAUUUACUGGGUGUAAAGGGAGCGUAGACGGGAAUGCAAGUUGGUUGUGAAAUCCCUCGGCUUAACUGAGGAACUGCAACCAAAACUACAUUUCUUGAGUGCUGGAGAGGA
rnacentral:rRNA from 1 species